GUGAGGAAUAUUGGUCAAUGGGCGCAAGCCUGAACCAGCGACGCCGCGUGCGGGAUGAAGGGGCUUUGCCUCGUAAACCGCUGUCGGAUGGGACGAAAGGUGGCUUUGAGCCACUGGGACGGUACCAUCAAAGGAAGGAUCGGCUAACUACGUGCCAGCAGCCGCGGUAAUACGUAGGAUCCGAGCGUUGUCCGGAGUUACUGGGUGUAAAGGGUGCGUAGGCUGUUCUGUGCGUCAGAGGUGAAAUCCACGGGCUUAACUCGUGGGGUGCCUUUGAUACGGCAGGGCUUGAGUACGAGAGAGGUGCGUGGAAUUCCUGGUGUAGCAGUGAAAUGCGUAGAUAUCAGGAGGAACACCGGUGGCGAAGGCGGCGCACUGGCUCGUAACUGACGCUGAGGCACGAAAGCGUGGGGAUCAAACAGGAUUAGAUACCCGUGUAGUCC
rnacentral:rRNA from 1 species